GUUUGUGGCUCAGCGGUAGAGUGUUUGUCUCGCAUGUGAGAGACCUUGGGUUGGAUCCUCAGCAACACA
rnacentral:tRNA from 1 species